rnacentral:pre_miRNA from 1 species
UUUGUACUCCCUCCGUCUAGAAUUACUUGUCAUAGAAAUGGAUGUAUUUAGACGUGUUUUUAGUUCUAGAUACAUCAAUUUUUAUCCAUUUGUGCGUCAAGUAAAUCGGAACAGAGGGAGAAGUUA